rnacentral:lncRNA from 1 species
GCAAAAGUUUCAAUCCGCUUUAUUGAAUCAUGUAAAAAUGUGAGACUGUGAGGCAGAAUUGCGACAGUAAAAGAAAGCAUGUAGAAAAAGUGCCCAAUUAUCAAUAACUUCACAGAAGUCCGGAGCAAGAGCAUCAUGCGUAGGUUGAAGUUCUUGGCAACUAAUGUGAACGAUGUGAGCGAGGCCAGAUGGGUAUCUUCUCUGCAAUCUAUUCUGCUGUUCGAAAUCAAGUAAAAGAACAAGAGAAAACUGGACUUGCUGUGAAGACCCCAAGCCUGACAAGAGUAUAGUCAUGUGCCUCUGGGCAGUGCCUUCAAUGCGAGCUCUGUGAAAUUAAACAAACUCUCACAUGACCCCUGUCUAGUUCCGUCGUUAUCUCUGCUAUACAAGGUGUUCCAGUCAGACGCCAUUUGCCAGGCUUGUCUUGUGCAUCAGCAGCCUUCAUAAUACGAACACUCCAGUUACUGCGUAUACGCCAGGGAGCGGGUCAUAAUGCUCCCUCAAACAU